UCGUCUUCCGCUCAUUGAAUCCGCUCAUCGCACUGUCUCCUACCUCGGCGACCUUAUGGCCUCCUUCAGUUCAAAGAUGUCCGUACUCUCUCUCUCUCUUUCAGCUCAAUGCAUAGAAGAGCCCUUUUCAGCGGACUUAUGCGACUCAGGAACUAUCCUCUGUUAAUGGCUACAUGGAAGGUUGCCCCUGCUCUGGCAGCUGGUUGUGCUGCAAUAUUGAAGCCUUCCGAAUUGGCAUCUGUGACAUGUUUGGAGUUGGCUGACAUAUGCAAAGAAGUGGGCCUUCCUUCGUGUGUACUAAAUAUUCUCUUUAUGUAUAACAGAUUAGAAAUAAAUCUAGUAACUGAAGAACAAUGAAUAUACGAGAAGCUCGUACACCAUACGUCUAAGAUGAAGCGCAUUGGAAUUGAUACUGAAGCACUCAAAGAGCACUUUGGGAAGAAAAUUAUGGAGCUUGAGGAGGAAAAAAGAAAAGUGCAGAUUUCUAAAGCAUGAGAGAUUCCUGUUGCAACUCUCAAACUGUUGAUCCCCGAGCCAGCGCCGUCGCAAUGGAGCAGACAUCCGUAGUGUGAUUUCCUCUGUGCAGAGGGUUUCCAUGGCGAUUUCUCCAUCUGGUAUAAACCCGGCAGUUGGCUCAAAACUCUCUCCUGGUUCUCCAGAGGCUCUUACACUAGCCAACUGGAUCUGCUGCAGUUAUAGGCAAGUCUGC